GACGAACGCUGGCGGCGUGCUUAACACAUGCAAGUCGAACGAAGAGCGAUGGAAUCUUGCUUCUCUCAAUCUUAGGGGCGAACGGGUGAGUAACGCGUAAUCAACCUGCCCUUCAGAGGGGGACAACAGUUGGAAACGACUGCUAAUACCGCAUACGAUCUAAUCUCGGCAUCGAGGAUAGAUGAAAGGUGGCCUCUACAGGUAAGCUAUCACUGAAGGAGGGGAUUGCGUCUGAUUAGCUAGUUGGAGGGGUAACGGCCCACCAAGGCGAUGAUCAGUAGCCGGUCUGAGAGGAUGAACGGCCACAUUGGGACUGAGACACGGCCCAGACUCCUACGGGAGGCAGCAGUGGGGAAUCUUCCGCAAGAGACGAAAGUCUGACGGAGCAACGCCGCGUGAGUGAUGACGGCCUUCGGGUUGUAAAGCUCGGUUAAUCGGGACGAAAGGCCUUCUUGCGAAUAGUGAGAAGGAUUGACGGUACCGGAAUAGAAAGCCACGGCUAACUACGUG
rnacentral:rRNA from 1 species